UAUCAAAAAAAUAAGUUAAAAUUCAAGGAGGAUAAAAAAUCACAUGUCUACAAUGAUGGAUCUGUUCGUGCGGUCAUGUUUCUUGUUAAUUUAAGCCUUUCCAUCCGAUGCCACAAGUACGAUUUGACCAAACUUGCAUUUAUCGUUUCAGCCCUGGUAGAUUUUAGAAGUACUGGCAGUACCUGAUGGAAAUUGCCUCCAAAAACUACUACUUUUCCACCAUUCAUCAAUAUAUCUCUAAAGCUCCUAUCAACCGUUUAAUUGUUCGACGACUAGCCAUAGGAGUUUUGUCCUAAAUAAUCAGCUUGGCUUUUUUUAAUUAAUUUAGCUCCACCACUUUGCUUUGACAUACGUGUGAUUGUCGUAUCAGUUCUUUGAAGUGGUAUCUCAAAUCUAGAAUAUUUUGUAUGACCUCCUGAUAAAAGAGCUGCAGCUACACCACUUGUUGUCGUUGCUAAAGCUAUUAUCCCUCUCGAUAUGAUAUUUACAAGUAUUGUGCGAUAUAGGAAUGUUUUUCCAGUCUCGCCAGGUCCGUCAAUAAAGAAUAAUCCCAAUUUUUUAGUAUCGACCCUUUCCAAUAUAAUCUUGAAUGCUUGCUCUUGUUCAGGAUUUAGUUUUGUCUAUACAUCCAAAUCUUCUAAAGACACUAUUAUAGAUUUCUCUGUAUUCUGAUAUAAUUCCAUCAUCCAACAUCUGUUCAAGUUUAGGUAUGCCAUAAUUUUUAAUUUUCUUCCCCAUGCUUUCUAAGAAAUGAUUUUUGUUUUUCAAUGUGCAUUGAAGUUGAGCAGUAGGAAAAUUGUCAUGUGUUCUUUUAAAAUCUUCUGACAUGUCAUCAUAAUAUGUGUCCCAGAGGCAUAUUCCCAUACUCCCGCACAAGAUUCAAUGUUGAUGUGGCAGUUGUAUAUAGUUAGUAAGUAAGAAUUAUAUGGAAUGACCCACUGAUUGUUCAUUGUCAUGCCUCAAACUUUUUCCUUUAUUCUAUUAUUUCGUAUCUUAUAAAUAGGAUAUCAAUCUUUUCCUUGCAUUGAUUUAUUACUAAAUGUCCGAGGAUAAUGACUCUUGUAUUGCCCAUCCUUUAUGCAUGAAUUUGCUGGAUGAUUUUUUCCACAUAACCCAUGCAUGAUAUUCUUGACAACCAAAUCAUGUAAGAUCAGAAAUUCUUCUUUGUUAAGAAGUUCAGCGAAAAUAAACCUAUCAUAGUUGUCUAGCGGUGUUAUCUUGUAUCCCUGUUCAAGUAUUAACAAAAGAUAUAUGUGCGGUAGUCCUCUUUUUUGAAAUUCAAUCACAAAAACAUGUGCUGCAACGGAACCAAAUAUCUUUUUAUUGAAGAUUUGAUCUUUUAAGUCAUGUAACUUUGCUCUAAAGACUCUAGUCACUAAUUCAGGUCUAUCUUGAGGAAGUUGUCCUUCUAUCAAAUUUUCUUUGAUCUCCAUCCAGUCAGGAUUACAUGUCAUUGUGAUGAAUAGAUCUGGUUUUUCAAAACGCUGAACCAAAGCCAUUGCAUCCAUAUAUCUAUGACGCAUAUCCCUAGGACCUCCAAUAAAUGAUGCAGGAAGUAUUACUCUCUGACCAACUAGAUCCUCUAAUUUCUUUGGCUAGUAUACUAUCAAAUAUACCUUGCAAUAUUUCCCUUCUAAGAUUUGAUUGCUCCAGCCUAAAAUAUUCAAAUUGUGUUGUUUCCAACUUAAUGUAUAUGUCAACUACAAAUUAUUGGAACAAUCUUCUGCACAGUAGAAUUAUCGUUCUUUCUCCAUCACGUAUUUGCAACUUAUAGCAGUAGUACUCUCUACAAGAGACACAAUGCUUACCUCCUCAUCGCACACCUAAAAAAAAUUAAAACACAUUGAUAUGAGACUUUUAAAUAACCAAAUCUAAGAGUUUGUGUAAUUAUGUUUCAAAAUUAUACCUUGUUGCUCAUUAUCAAACACCUCAUUAGCAGACGUAAAUGCUGAAAUAUUCUGAUUGAGGCUUUCAACUUCGAUAUUGUGUGAAUUUUUUUUUGUUUUAUGUUGUUUUAAUAUUCCUUAGUGCCAACCUGGUUCACUAUUUGGAAAAAGUAAAGGAUACUGAAGUGGGUCAUAACAAUCAUAAUGAUGUUUGACUCUAUGCAUAUUGCCUGAGUGUUCAUGAACAAUAAUUUCUUGAUCAAAUAAUACAUUGGGGUUGUUUCCGUCUAUUCAAAUAGCAACAAUUUGAUUUACUAAUGGUUUGUUGUAUACACGUUGAUCUAGUUUAGCAUUAGAAGCAUUUCGAAUCUCUAAAUUCGGAAAGCUUGAAUAAUCUUUUAGCUAGCAAAAAAAUUGUGCAUAAGGAUUGACAUCCAUUAUUUGUCUUAUUAUCGCCACAACUUUUACGGAUAAAUUGGCUUCUUUGAGUUUUGAAAUCCUAUGGGAUACCUCAUUUUUUGUGUCAAAAAGUAUAAUUAAAAAUAACAUGAAUUAUCAUUAUGUGGAAUUAAUGAGGGUAGAUCAUGAUAUAUUUGACCCUGUGCCUUAAACAUAUAAACUCCUUAUCUUGAAGAUGCCAGAUCAUUGUCAAUUCUUACACCAAAAGACGUAACUUCAAAUAUGUUGUUAUAUCCUCUAAUGUUUUGUGAAAUUCUUUUGCUACUGUAGAGUCCGAGAAAAAUAACGCAUACAGUUGAACUGGAACUUCUGUAGGUGCAAGUUUAAUUGAUCCACCGUCGCAAUAAAAUGUUAGAGUUUCAUAUUCAAACCUCAAAGCACGACAAUGUAUGUAUUUAGGAAUAUUUUCCAACUUAUGAAGAGAUGAUAUUGAUGGUAUGUAGUCAACUUGACCUAAAUUUAUAUAGUUAUAUAUUAUAAAACUUAAUAAUAAUAAAUGAUGAAUAAAUAGAGUUGAGUAACUGUAAUGAAUAAAUUAGUACUACAUUACCUUCAAUGUCAUAGUUUUUUGAUAAAGCUUUUAGGAAUCAAUUUAUUCUCCUUUUUUAAUUGGUCUUCUUUCUUCGAUAUUGAUAUCUUCUGUAGAUUGAACUGUUGUGCCUGCUGCAUUAGAAAUAAAUAUUACUUGUUUCUUUUUUUUUCCAGAUAAAAGAUGUGAAAAUAUCAGAAUAUACUUAUGUUAGAUAAAAUAAGCAAAUUUCUAAUCAUUAUGAGGGAACGGAUCCAUACAAUGCAAACGCAAUUCAAAGUCAAAAUGACCAAUAUUUUUACUCUGGUGGGGGUUUCGGUCAGUAAUUUAGUCAGCUAACACUCCAACAACAUGAGCAGAAGCAUGCCUCAAGUGAUUAUUUCGGGAGUCAGACAACUGUCAAUUAUUCCCAGCAAGCAUUUCAGAGUAGCAACAGUUUGCUUAUGCUUCCGCUGCAGGAAAUCAUCUGCUGGCCAUCCACCACAUGCUUUGGUCACUUUUGAUUUUGGUGGAAAACUGAUUGUAAUGAAAGAUCACAGUUCUUUUGGGAACCCAUCCUUUGAAAGUCAGAAUCCUGUAGGAGGUUCGAUAUCUGUGCUCAAAUUGAUGGAUGUUGUCUCUGAGAGAGUUGACAAUUCAAGCCUUGUGAUAGGGGCAUGUGACUAUAACCGUUAUACGGAGUUGUUGCUUAUCGUUUAGUCAUUGAGGAACUAAGAUGCUAGCUGUACUGUUUUUGAAUUUUCUACAGAUAUACAAGUUAGUCAUUCUGAUUCGAUUAUAUUCUCAUAUUAUGGAAUUUAAUUUUUCUAGAAAGCUACGAUCUGCUAUAAGCUAACAGUAAAUAAAUGAAUAAAUUAUUCUAAAAAACUGUGUAGUCGCUGUUUUUGGAGUUUGAGGUGAAAAAGCAGUUUUGAAUGGUAAGUAAGCACCCUUUUCUAGUUCAUGAGUAUUGUCGAUUGCAACAUCUAAAUUUAUUUUAGUUGCAGCAAUAUAUUUGUUAACCCUUUCAAUGACUUGAGCAACUUUGUCUUGAUCUAUAUAGAUAAGAUAAAAAAAUUAACAAAAGUGACGCACAACAAAAGUUGAAAUAUAAUCUGUUACAUUAAUUUUCUAGCUACCUUGUGCCAUUUGUUUAAUGAAUAAAUAUCCUGCGAUAUAGAAUAAGAAAUUAAAAUUAAUAAUGUAUUACAAGUGAACAAAAGCAUAUAUUGUAUGAUUAGAUCAAAUUAGCAGUAGACAGUUAGUAAAAGUGAACAAACAACUAAUAUUAUUUGAUAUGCCAGCAAAAGUUGCUUAUUAUCUAAAAAAAAAAGAAAAACUAAAAUAACUAAUAAAUAUCUAGAUUCUAGAACUAUUGAUUUUAAAAUAACUAAUCAGUAACUACUAUAUAGAAAAAUUUGGGCUUCUAUUGUAUAGAGAAAAUAGCAUCAUUGAUCCUUAUUAAGCUUGAUCCUUUUUUGUGGUAUUGUGUCAUCAGUAUCGUUUUCUGUUCUUGUUAUCUCUUUGAUUGUUGUUUCUGAGGUGAUAUCUUCAUCUAUUAUAUUAAUUGGAAUAGCGUUUUGAACUGGUUGUACUUCAUCAGCAAUAAAGUGUCUUCCUAUUCGAUCUCCUUUCUUUCAUACUUUAAUUUUGACAAAAAAUACAUAUUGUUUGUUAAUACUUAGCAGCAAGUUUCGAUAAAAGGAUGAUUUUUCUCUCUGUAUCAAAGAAAAUAAUAUAUUAGUAAAAAAAAAAUUAGUGAAGAAAAAAAUAUAGUAAUAAAAUAUAUAAUAAGUAUAAAAGGAGAGUAUAAUAUGACCUUUUUCGAUAUUGAUUGGUUAUAUGUUGUAACAUUGCAACCAGUCAAGUGUCUUGUGGCUUCAAAUAGUGUAACAGUGCAAUGUUCAUUGUCAACGGACACGUCAAGUAUUAGACGAAACCUACAGAAACAACAAAAAGUAAACAAAUAGCUUGUUUAUUGAUUCUUAAAGAAAUAAUAUAAAACUUUUUAUGUGUAUCACCUGUCGUCAUAAUGUGCAUUUUCUGCUAGACAACCAAAACAUUUUGAAAUAUUAUUGUUGAAGUUUACUUUUUUGUAGCAGUUGUUGCAAGAUGCAUAGCAUGGAGCAUCUGCAUUUAAGAGCCUUAAAAUUUUCGCAGUAAAUUUACAAUAUUUAACCUACAUAUAAAAACAGAGAGAAGACAAAGAUUAAAACUACUAGAACAUGCAUAAAUUUUGAUUACGAUGGUGAAAAUAGUACCUCAUUAUAAUCGAACGAUCCAUGUGCUAUAUCCUCAAUUUUUAGUUCUUGAGACUUUGUAAUAUGUAAAGAUGGCAACAUAGUAAUAUCAACGUGUUUCUUCUUCUUUACAAAAAUCCUACAUGUUAUUUAGGUAGAGAAGUAAAAUAACUAAUAUUAUACUAUUCAUUAUUUUGAAUAUGAGAAUGUAUAGUACCACUCUUGGAGAAAUAUUGUUUUUUCAAAAGUGAAAUUUAUCCACAUACUACUGAUAGAUGUAGAAGUUAUCCCAAAAUUCCCUGCAAAGAUUUGAAGAAAAAGGGUUAGGACAAAAAAAAAAGACAGAGAAUUUACUAUAAACACAAGUUCUAUUAUUAUAAACACAACUUCUAAGAUAGUACCUAGAAAUAGAUUAGUCUUAACAUCACAGAAUGCAAUUACAGAUUUUUCUUCAUUGAGGCUUUCUAAGAGUUUAUCUUUUAUUUCUGAGAAGUCGCCCCAUAAUGUUAUAAUUUUUUUAUCACACCUAAAUUUUUUAAUCAAAUCACGGAGGUUAAAUUAUGAAAGUGCACUGAAAUAGGUGAACAAUAGAAACAAAAUAGACAUUUUUAAAAAGUUAGUUCAACUUACUUUUCAUUCAUAAGUAUGAGCUCUGUACGUUUUUUGCCUUUUGUGAAGAGCUUAGACGACAUGAAGAUUUUAAAAAUAUCUACAAAAUAUUAAGUAUAAAUUAAUCGGUAAUAGAAAUAAAAUAUCUAUGAAAUAUUAGAUGAGGCAACGAAAUCUAAAGGAACUACCUAAAACUAUUCCCAUGGUAUGCAACUUUUCGUCUUCAAAUGAAACAAAGUUGUUCGAAAAACAAAGUGUAGAGAAAGAAUUUUUGUAUUCUUGAACUAUAGUUGCAUCGCUGAAGCCAACUUCAAUGUUCUUAUUGACGGAAAGAAAAUUGAGAUUGGGAGGAGCAAUACGGCUAUUCAUGAUGUAGCAAAAUUUUCCUUGAUGUAAACGCUUUUUCCACAUUGUAAUAUGUCCAUUGAAAAGAGUGGCAUUAACUUUUGUGCCCUGAAAAGAAAAGAGGAAAAAAAAAGAUGAAUAAAGAACAGGGGUGAAAUAAAACAAAGAUGAAUCAAUAACAUUAAGUGAUUUUAUAAUAUAGAUGUUGUUGAUAAGUAGAAUAGUAGAAGAAGAACAUUUAGUUAUAAAUAAGUGCAGUGAUUGAUGAAUUAAGUACCUCUUCAUCGACGAAGGUGAAAGCUUUUUAUGUACCACUUGUCGUUUGAGCAAAUUCUUUUAUUGCUUGACACCCUAUGACCAUGAUUUUAAUUAUGGAGGUACGAUCGUGGAGCUUGACUGCGCUAAGAGGCACAACUUCAGUAAUUGGGUCUGUUAAUUCAAUAUCGGUAGAGUUUGAUGAUUUGGUGAUUGAGUCCAUUGCUGACUUGAUAAUUAAGUCAAGUACAAUAAUAUAAUAAAGUUAUAAUAACAGUAAGACAUAAUUAUAUAACAAAAAGUAAUUUAUGAGGCGGGAAUAUUUUACUUGAAUAUGUGAACCUUAUUAGUUGAUCAGUAGAAUAGUAGGAGAAUGUUAGGGGAUAAACUAAGAAUCAGCUUAAAUUAAUUAUUAACAGUAAUAACAAUAUAAGAGCGGAGAAUUAUGAAUUAUUGAAAGAGAUUGUAUAAAAAAAAAACUAUAAGCGAAGCAACUUUUAAGCUGGCAUAGCAAUUAAUAUUGUGUUUAAGUGAAUUAUUAACACUAACAAUAAUAUAGGAGCGGGAAAUUAUGAACUGCUGAAAGAGACUGUAUAAAAAUACUUGGAGAAGAGACAUACUGAAAAAAAUGUAUGAGCAGCGAUGUGAUGCAGCGAUAUGAGAGAAAAAGUAUGAGCAGCGUUGCGACGCAACGAGAGAAGAAGGAAAGAAAGUAAUGCGUGGGCGUGUGAAAAAAUGCGAGCAGUGUGGUGAUGCAACAAGAGAAGUGUGAGCAGCGUUGCGAUGCAAUGAGAGGAGCAGGGAAAAAAGUAAUGCGUGUGCCUGUGAAAAACUGCGAGCAGCGUGGUGAUGUAGCAAGAGGAUUUGCGAAGAAAAUAAUGUAGGGCGAUGAUGUUACGAAGAUAAUAGAAAAAUAAUAUGGUAUUUAUAGAAGUAGUUUUUUUGCUGGGUUGAAUAUGAACGUGCAUGUUAUAAUCUAGUUAAAAUAGGAUUUUGAUCUUUGUUUGUUCUAAUUUAGUUAGAAUAAGAUCAGUAAAAAAGGAACUUUUUUAUUUGUCCGAUAGUUCCUUAUUUUAUAUGUAAAGGAUUUGUAACAAAUUUCUUUUUCAGUAGGAAAGGUUUUUUUUUAA